rnacentral:tRNA from 1 species
GGGGGAGUAGCUCAGUGGUAGAGCACCUGGCUUUUAACCAGGGUGUCGCGGGUUCAAUCCCCGCCUCCCUCACCA